UACGUAGGGUGCAAGCGUUGUCCGGAAUUAUUGGGCGUAAAGAGCUCGUAGGCGGUUCGUCGCGUCGGCUGUGAAAACCCGGAGCUCAACUCCGGGCCUGCAGUCGAUACGGGCGGACUUGAGUGUUGCAGGGGAGACUGGAAUUCCUGGUGUAGCGGUGAAAUGCGCAGAUAUCAGGAGGAACACCGGUGGCGAAGGCGGGUCUCUGGGCAACUACUGACGCUGAGGAGCGAAAGCGUGGGGGAGCGAACAGG
rnacentral:rRNA from 1 species